CUGCAGCCCAGUCAGGCAUAUGCACUGGUGUGGGUACCACAGUCACAGUAACCCUUCCUUCUUUAAGCUGCUUCUCAUCAGUCUAUGUCACCUCAAGAAGAUGCCUGGUGGACUGAGUCCCUGCCCUGGUAUGCUCGAUAAGGUGGGAAAGUGACAGCAACAGCUAGCUGGGCCUGAGAAAAGUGUGCACCCUUUCCUGGGUCCACACCACCACAAUAUAUUCCUGUCCCACUUUGCAAAACCUACGUGAUCAUGUUACCAGAGGUGGAGAAGAUAUUGUCCUUCUUCAACAUGACUCCAAGACUGACCAGCAUAGCCACAAGACUCUUGAUGACCUGAGUCCAUCUUUACUUGGAUUCACACAGCACUGGAGAAGAUGUCUACUUGGUGCUGGGUGUGGGAUGGGGUAGGUGAGGUGUCAAAGCCUUGAGGGCUCCCGAGACCUUAUGUCCCAAGCCCUCAUUAUUUUACUUGUGUCCCAUACUUUUGCCUGAUGCUGCCCUGGAGCCCAGUGGAUAUUUGUGAAAUAGUAGCCUCAUUAUCUAUUACAUAUAGUGUCAUAUCAGUAUAAGU